CACGUAAGAACAAAUUAAAAGUAUUUUAAAAGAGACCAGGUUGUUUGAAAAUCCUAAACGAAUGCUAAAAAUCAUAGAAUCAAAACAUUCUGGUGUCUGAGCCAGAGUGUCAUCGAAUUACGAUGUAAUGUAAACAGAAAUUAUAGCAAGCUGAUGUCAGUCAGCUUAGAUGGUCCAAGCCAAAAUUAUAUCGCAUUUGAAGUUUCAAACUGUGUUAAAAAUAGUGGAAGAAAAAGCCGUAAUUAUACUUAUUGUUACAAUCCAUUUAUUAAAAUGCAACAUUUUUUUGUUUUAAUGAAAAGUUAUUUUCAUGAGAACGAUUUGUUAUUCCAUCUCAAUUUUUUUAAUCUCCAAUCGCAAUAACGUAAAGUAUUAUUACCCGCGAACCAAUGAGUCAAAUUUAAGAAACAAGCCACUGUUAGAAAGCUGA